rnacentral:misc_RNA from 1 species
GCUGCUUCAAAUCCGAAGUGGUGGAUUGAAGAGAAGUGGUUUAGAUAAUGGCGAAUUAAACAAACUAAUAAAAAUGUAGAUCCAAUUAUUACGUGAAGUCCGUGGAAUCCGGUACAAAUAAAAAAUGAGGACCCAUACACUGAAUCUGAGAUUGUAAAUGGUGCUUCGUAGUACUCAUAAGCUUGAAGAAUUGUAAAAUAAAUUCCUAGUAAAACUGUUAGUCUUAAUCCUUGAAGAGUUUGAGUAAAAUUAUUUUCUAUUAAUCUAUGAUGGGCUCAAGUAACAGUUAGUCCGGAUGUUAAUAAGAUGAUAGUAUUUAAGAGAGGGAUUUCUAUGGGAUUAAAAGGUUGAAUUCUUUUAGGAGGUCAAUUUAUGCCUAAAUCAAUACUUGGUCUUAAGGAGUUAUGGAAAAAUCUUCAAAAAAAUGAUACAAAGAAUAAGACUUCUGAUGUAAUAAAUAAGAUUAUUCCCCAUCGAAGACCUAUAGUUACUUUUCAGGUAUGAUAUCCUAGAAAUGUUCCUUCACGUACAAUAUCACGUCAUCAUUGAAAUAUAACUAAUAAUAUGAUUGUGUUUCCUAAAAAAAAUAAAUUUUUUUCAUAAAGAUGGAAUCAUUUAAUUAUUCCUAUUAUAGUUGUUAUAGUACCUAGAGAUCCUAGGAUAGGUCAGGGUCUUACAUCUACUAAGUGGUAGGGAU